ACCUUGACAUGUACGGAACCCUUUAGAGAUAGAGGGGUGCUCGAAAGAGAGCCGUAACACAGGUGCUGCAUGGCUGUCGUCAGCUCGUGUCGUGAGAUGUUGGGUUAAGUCCCGCAACGAGCGCAACCCUUGUCAUUAGUUGCUACAUUCAGUUGGGCACUCUAAUGAGACUGCCGGUGACAAGCCGGAGGAAGGUGGGGAUGACGUCAAGUCCUCAUGGCCCUUAUAGGUGGGGCUACACACGUCAUACAAUGGCUGGUACAAAGGGUUGCCAACCCGCGAGGGGGAGCCAAUCCCAUAAAGCCAGUCGUAGUCCGGAUCGUAGUCUGCAACUCGACUACGUGAAGUCGGAAUCGCUAGUAAUCGUGGAUCAGAAUGUCACGGUGAAUACGUUCCCGGGUCUU
rnacentral:rRNA from 1 species